rnacentral:rRNA from 1 species
ACAGUCACACAUUAGAUACCCGUGUAGUCCUAGCCGUAAACGAUACUCGCUAGGUGUCGGCCACGGUGCGACCGUUGUCGGUGCCGUAGGGAAGCCGUGAAGCGAGCCACCUGGGAAGUACGGCCGCAAGGCUGAAACUUAAAGGAAUUGGCGGGGGAGCACCACAACGGGUGGAGCUUGCGGUUUAAUUGGAUUCAACGCCGGAAAUCUUACCGGGACCGACAGCAACAUGAAGGCCAAGCUGAAGACUUUGCCGGAUUAGCUG